UUUUCAAAAACAGUUAUUGGAAAGGCACGCUUAAACAACAUAACCAUUAUUGGUCCACUUGAUAUGAAACAAAUUGAUUACACAGUACCUACCGUUAUAGCAGAGGAAAUGAGUUAUAUGUAUGAUUUCUGUACUCUGAUAUCCAUCAAAGUGCAUAACAUAGUACUCAUGAUGCAGUAAGUACAAAUCUUUUUUGAAAGAGAUUUUGCUUGUUAACAUUUUGGAUUUAUAACAUUGGCUUAUAAUAUACACAACAUCUUUAUAAAUGCCACCUCAGUUGGGUUUUAAGCCUUACAAGAGUGCUAUGAGUAAAUAUCACCCACUUUAAAAAUUACGAAAUGGUUGUUCAGAGAAGUAGUGAAAGACUACGUGACUGCUAAGUAGUGAAUCUGGAUGUCACAAGAGUUCAGGAAAAUGGAAAGGAUACAGGGAACUGAGCCCCACAUCCAAUUCCUUACUCCCUUGACAAAUAGUCAUUAACAGUAAUAAGAAUAUUAUUGGUUUGUAAAUUGGGUGUUAUCUAAGCCAAUAAAACAUUGUUGAUUAUAGGUUUGGUGUUUUGACCAUUAGCUGACAUUUGAUUAACCUUU
rnacentral:lncRNA from 10 species